CAGGGAACCUCUAAGAAUAAAAAAAAAUAGUAGAUUUACCUGGGGUAUAUCUGAACCAAGUCCGUGGUUAGAUCCUGCGUGAUUGCAUGGGAACGUGGAUCUCCGUCAGAAUAAAACCAACCAGCU